AAAUUGAAGAGUUUGAUCAUGGCUCAGAUUGAACGCUGGCGGCAGGCCUAACACAUGCAAGUCGAGCGGUAGCACAGAGAGCUUGCUCUCGGGUGACGAGCGGCGGACGGGUGAGUAAUGUCUGGGAAACUGCCUGAUGGAGGGGGAUAACUACUGGAAACGGUAGCUAAUACCGCAUAACGUCGCAAGACCAAAGUGGGGGACCUUCGGGCCUCAUGCCAUCAGAUGUGCCCAGAUGGGAUUAGCUAGUAGGUGGGGUAAUGGCUCACCUAGGCGACGAUCCCUAGCUGGUCUGAGAGGAUGACCAGCCACACUGGAACUGAGACACGGUCCAGACUCCUACGGGAGGCAGCAGUGGGGAAUAUUGCACAAUGGGCGCAAGCCUGAUGCAGCCAUGCCGCGUGUAUGAAGAAGGCCUUCGGGUUGUAAAGCCAUGCUUCAGCGAGGAGGAAGGCAUUAAGGUUAAUAACCUUGGUGAUUGACGUUACUCGCAGAAGAAGCACCGGCUAACUCCGUGCCAGCAGCCGCGGUAAUACGGAGGGUGCAAGCGUUAAUCGGAAUUACUGGGCGUAAAGCGCACGCAGGCGGUCUGUCAAGUCGGAUGUGAAAUCCCCGGGCUCAACCUGGGAACUGCAUUCGAAACUGGCAGGCUAGAGUCUUGUAGAGGGGGGUAGAAUUCCAGGUGUAGCGGUGAAAUGCGUAGAGAUCUGGAGGAAUACCGGUGGCGAAGGCGGCCCCCUGUACAAAGACUGACGCUCAGGUGCGAAAGCGUGGGGAGCAAACAGGAUUAGAUACCCUGGUAGUCCACGCCGUAAACGAUGUCGACUUGGAGGUUGUGCCCUUGAGGCGUGGCUUCCGGAGCUAACGCGUUAAGUCGACCGCCUGGGGAGUACGGCCGCAAGGUUAAAACUCAAAUGAAUUGACGGGGGCCGCACAAGCGGUGGAGCAUGUGGUUUAAUUCGAUGCAACGCGAAGAACCUUACCUACUCUUGACAUCCAGAGAACUUAGCAGAGAUGCUUUGGUGCCUUCGGGAACUCUGAGACAGGUGCUGCAUGGCUGUCGUCAGCUCGUGUUGUGAAAUGUUGGGUUAAGUCCCGCAACGAGCGCAACCCUUAUCCUUUGUUGCCAGCGGUCCGGCCGGGAACUCAAAGGAGACUGCCAGUGAUAAACUGGAGGAAGGUGGGGAUGACGUCAAGUCAUCAUGGCCCUUACGAGUAGGGCUACACACGUGCUACAAUGGCAUAUACAAAGAGAAGCGACCUCGCGAGAGCAAGCGGACCUCAUAAAGUAUGUCGUAGUCCGGAUUGCAGUCUGCAACUCGACUCCAUGAAGUCGGAAUCGCUAGUAAUCGUAGAUCAGAAUGCUACGGUGAAUACGUUCCCGGGCCUUGUACACACCGCCCGUCACACCAUGGGAGUGGGUUGCAAAAGAAGUAGGUAGCUUAACCUUCGGGAGGGCGCUUACCACUUUGUGAUUCAUGACUGGGGUGAAGUCGUAACAAGGUAACCGUAGGGGAACCUGCGGUUGGAUCUCCCUUACCUUAAAGAA
rnacentral:rRNA from 1 species